AGCGGCGGACGGGUGAGUAACGCGUGGGUAACCUGCCUCAUACAGGGGGAUAACAGUUGGAAACGGCUGCUAAUACCACAUAAGCGCACAGUACCGCAUGGUACCGUGUGAAAAACUCCGGUGGUAUGAGAUGGACCCGCGUCUGAUUAGCUAGUUGGUGGGGUAACGGCCUACCAAGGCGACGAUCAGUAGCCGACCUGAGAGGGUGACCGGCCACAUUGGGACUGAGACACGGCCCAA
rnacentral:rRNA from 1 species